rnacentral:rRNA from 1 species
UGGGGAAUAUUGCACAAUGGGGGAAACCCUGAUGCAGCGACGCCGCGUGAACGAAGAAGGUAUUCGUAUCGUAAAGUUCUGUCCUAUGGGAAGAUAAUGACAGUACCAUAGAAGAAAGCUCCGGCUAAAUACGUGCCAGCAGCCACGGUAAUACGUAUGGAGCGAGCGUUGUCCGGAAUUAUUAGGCGUAAAUGGUACGCAGGCGGUUUAAUAAGUCGAAUGUUAAAGAUCGGGGCUCAACCCCGUAAAGCAUUGGAAACUGAUAAACUUGAGUAGUGGAGAGGAAAGAGGAAUUCCUAGUGUAGUGGUGAAAUACGUAGAUAUUAGGAGAAAUACCAGUAGCGAGGGCGACUUUCUGGACACAAACUGACGCUGAGGUACGAAAGCGUGGGGAGCAAACAGG